UGAACGCUGGCGGCGUGCCUAAUACAUGCAAGUCGAGCGAACAGACGAGGAGCUUGCUCCUUUGACGUUAGCGGCGGACGGGUGAGUAACACGUGGGUAACCUACCUAUAAGACUGGGAUAACUUCGGGAAACCGGAGCUAAUACCGGAUAAUAUUUCGAACCGCAUGGUUCGAUAGUGAAAGAUGGCUCUGCUAUCACUUAUAGAUGGACCUGCGCCGUAUUAGCUAGUUGGUAAGGUAACGGCUUACCAAGGCAACGAUACGUAGCCGACCUGAGAGGGUGAUCGGCCACACUGGAACUGAGACACGGUCCAGACUCCUACGGGAGGCAGCAGUAGGGAAUCUUCCGCAAUGGGCGAAAGCCUGACGGAGCAACGCCGCGUGAGUGAUGAAGGUCUUCGGAUCGUAAAACUCUGUUAUUAGGGAAGAACAAACGUGUAAGUAACUGUGCACGUCUUGACGGUACCUAAUCAGAAAGCCACGGCUAACUACGUG
rnacentral:rRNA from 1 species